rnacentral:rRNA from 1 species
UAGGGAAUCUUCCGCAAUGGACGCAAGUCUGACGGAGCAACGCCGCGGGAGUGAAGAAGGAUUUCGGUUCGUAAAACUCUGUUGUUAGAGAAGAACAGCGCAUAGAGUAACUGUUAUGCGUGUGACGGUAUCUAACCAGAAAGCCACGGCUAACUACGUGCCAGCAGCCGCGGUAAUACGUAGGUGGCAAGCGUUGUCCGGAUUUAUUGGGCGUAAAGCGAGCGCAGGCGGUCAAUUAAGUCUGAUGUGAAAGCCCCCGGCUCAACCGGGGAGGGGCAUUGGAAACUGGUUGACUUGAGUGCAGAAGGGGAGAGUGGAAUUCCAUGUGUAGCGGUGAAAUGCGUAGAUAUAUGGAGGAACACCAGUGGCGAAGGCGACUCUCUGGUCUGUAACUGACGCUGGGGCUCGAAAGCGUGGGUAGCAAACAGG